UACAUGGGGUGCAAACGUUGCUCGGAAUUAUUGGGCGUAAAGCGCACGUAGGUGGUUUGUUAUGUCGGAUGUGAAAGCCCUCGGCUCAACUGAGGAAGUGCAUCCGAAACUGGCAAGCUAGAGUAUGUAAGAGGGUCGCGGAAUUCCCGGUGUAGAGGUGAAAUUCGUAGAUAUCGGGAGGAACACCGGUGGCGAAGGCGGCGACCUGGGACAAUACUGACACUGAGGCAUGAAAGCGUGGGGAGCAAACAGG
rnacentral:rRNA from 1 species